UUGAACGCUGGCGGCAGGCCUAACACAUGCAAGUCGAACGGUAACAGAAAGCAGCUUGCUGCUUUGCUGACGAGUGGCGGACGGGUGAGUAAUGUCUGGGAAACUGCCCGAUGGAGGGGGAUAACUACUGGAAACGGUAGCUAAUACCGCAUAACGUCGCAAGACCAAAGAGGGGGACCUUCGGGCCUCUUGCCAUCGGAUGUGCCCAGAUGGGAUUAGCUAGUAGGUGGGGUAACGGCUCACCUAGGCGACGAUCCCUAGCUGGUCUGAGAGGAUGACCAGCCACACUGGAACUGAGACACGGUCCAGACUCCUACGGGAGGCAGCAGUGGGGAAUAUUGCACAAUGGGCGCAAGCCUGAUGCAGCCAUGCCGCGUGUAUGAAGAAGGCCUUCGGGUUGUAAAGUACUUUCAGCGGGGAGGAAGGGAGUAAAGUUAAUACCUUUGCUCAUUGACGUUACCCGCAGAAGAAGCACCGGCUAACUCCGUGCCAGCAGCCGCGGUAAUACGGAGGGUGCAAGCGUUAAUCGGAAUUACUGGGCGUAAAGCGCACGCAGGCGGUUUGUUAAGUCAGAUGUGAAAUCCCCGGGCUCAACCUGGGAACUGCAUCUGAUACUGGCAAGCUUGAGUCUCGUAGAGGGGGGUAGAAUUCCAGGUGUAGCGGUGAAAUGCGUAGAGAUCUGGAGGAAUACCGGUGGCGAAGGCGGCCCCCUGGACGAAGACUGACGCUCAGGUGCGAAAGCGUGGGGAGCAAACAGGAUUAGAUACCCUGGUAGUCCACGCCGUAAACGAUGAGUGCUAGGUGUUAGGCCCUUUCCGGGGCUUAGUGCCGGAGCUAACGCAAUAAGCACUCCGCCUGGGGAGUACGACCGCAAGGUUGAAACUCAAAGGAAUUGACGGGGGCCCGCACAAGCGGUGGAGCAUGUGGUUUAAUUCGAUGCAACGCGAAGAACCUUACCUGGUCUUGACAUCCACGGAAGUUUUCAGAGAUGAGAAUGUGCCUUCGGGAACCGUGAGACAGGUGCUGCAUGGCUGUCGUCAGCUCGUGUUGUGAAAUGUUGGGUUAAGUCCCGCAACGAGCGCAACCCUUAUCCUUUGUUGCCAGCGGUCCGGCCGGGAACUCAAAGGAGACUGCCAGUGAUAAACUGGAGGAAGGUGGGGAUGACGUCAAGUCAUCAUGGCCCUUACGACCAGGGCUACACACGUGCUACAAUGGCGCAUACAAAGAGAAGCGACCUCGCGAGAGCAAGCGGACCUCAUAAAGUGCGUCGUAGUCCGGAUUGGAGUCUGCAACUCGACUCCAUGAAGUCGGAAUCGCUAGUAAUCGUGGAUCAGAAUGCCACGGUGAAUACGUUCCCGGGCCUUGUACACACCGCCCGUCACACCAUGGGAGUGGGUUGCAAAAGAAGUAGGUAGCUUAACCUUCGGGAGGGCGCUUACCACUUUGUGAUUCAUGACUGGGGUG
rnacentral:rRNA from 1 species